rnacentral:tRNA from 1 species
GGUUGUGUGGUCUAGUGGUAUGAUACCUGCUUCGGGUGCAGGUGGCCCGGAGUUCGAAUCUCCGCUCAACCC